UACAGAGGGUGCGAGCGUUAAUCGGAAUUACUGGGCGUAAAGCGCACGUAGGUGGCGACGUAAGUCGGGUGUGAAAGCCCCGGGCUCAACCUGGGAAUUGCAUUCGAGACUGCAUUGCUGGAGUACGGAAGAGGAAGGCGGAAUUCCCGGUGUAGCGGUGAAAUGCGUAGAUAUUGGGAAGAACACCGAUGGCGAAGGCAGCCAUCUGGACCGACACUGACGCUGAGGCGCGAAAGCGUGGGGAGCAAACAGG
rnacentral:rRNA from 1 species